GCUUAUCUGAACAUAAGAAAGAUUCGAACCUGCAGCAGGUUCGGGUCGAGCCAUUUAUGGCGAGACAACGGAGCCGCUUGCGGCAACGGCCCGAAGGGCGAGCGAAGCGAGUCAUCCUGCACGACCCACCA
rnacentral:sRNA from 1 species